UCUUCAUUUCACGGGCUCUCUCACCCUUUGGAGAGGCGAGAUAGUAUGUGAAAUGAAGAGA
rnacentral:pre_miRNA from 1 species